rnacentral:rRNA from 1 species
UGAAGUGAUGAUGGCAAAGAGGUCACACCCGUUCCCAUACCGAACACGGAAGUUAAGCUCUUUAGCGCCGAUGGUAGUUGGGGAUUCCCCCUGCGAGAGUAGGACGUCGCUUCGC